CUGCUCCGGGGCCUGGCGGGCCAGCCCAGAAAGCUGGCCCCCCCCCCGGAGGACCGUCAGCAGCCCGACUCUGCAUCCAACAGGACAAGGAAAUCGGCUUUCUACCUCAUGUCCCAAUUUCUGCUGAAAAAGUUUAACAUCAUGUAUCUUAGAAUAUAAGCACGGGUACUUGCAGCAAACCAAUACGCAGGCCCUAAAGGAGACAAUACAUUUGGGGACUAAGAGGUGCGCUGGCACUCAGGGAAGCGGAGGACGCCCGAUUCCUGGAGGAGACAGAGUGACUGCUGUUGGGGAAUACAACUCUCACUUAACGAGUGGGGCA